UAUUGGGCAAUGGGCGCAAGCCUGACCCAGCAACGCCGCGUGAAGGAUGAAGGUUUUCGGAUUGUAAACUUCUGUCGCGAGGGACGAAGAAUGACGGUACCUCGUAAGAAAGCCCCGGCUAACUACGUGCCAGCAGCCGCGGUAACACGUAGGGGGCAAGCGUUGUCCGGAAUGACUGGGCGUAAAGGGAGCGUAGGCGGCUUAUCAAGUUAGAUGUGAAAUCCCGCGGCUUAACCGCGGAACUGCAUCUAAAACUGGUGAGCUGGAGUGCAGGAGAGGUGAGUGGAAUUCCUAGUGUAGCGGCGGAAUGCGUAGAUAUUAGGAGGAACACCAGAGGCGAAGGCGACUCACUGGACUGUAACUGACGCUGAGGCUCGAAAGCGUGGGGAGCAAACAGG
rnacentral:rRNA from 1 species